rnacentral:rRNA from 1 species
GAACGAACGCUGGCGGCGUGGAUUAGGCAUGCAAGUCGAACGGACACUUAGCUUUUUCGAGUGUUAGUGGCGAAAGGGUGAGUAACACGUGGGUUACCUGCCCUAGGUUCGGGAUAACUUGUCGAAAGACGGGCUAAUACCGGAUACGUUCUUAUUCUUUAACUGGAGUAAGAGGAAAGAUGGGGACCUCGCAAGAGGCCUGUCACCCUUGGUUGGGCCCGCGGCCUAUCAGCUAGUUGGUGAGGUAAUGGCUCACCAAGGCUAAGACGGGUAGCUGGUCUGAGAGGAUGGUCAGCCACACUGGGACUGAGACACUGCCAGACUCUACGGGAGCAGCAGUGGGGAAUCUUGCGCAAUGGGCGAAAGCCUGACGCAGCGACG